UACGGGGGGGGCAAGCGUUGUUCGGAAUUACUGGGCGUAAAGGGCGCGUAGGCGGCCUGUUAAGUCACACGUGAAAUCCCUCGGCUCAACCGGGGAACUGCGUGUGAUACUGGCGGGCUUGAAUUCGGGAGAGGGAUGUGGAAUUCCAGGUGUAGCGGUGAAAUGCGUAGAGAUCGGGAGGAACACCAGAGGCGAAGGCGGCGACCUGGACAGUUACUGACACUCAACUACGAAAGCGUGGGGAGCAAACAGG
rnacentral:rRNA from 1 species